rnacentral:rRNA from 1 species
GUUGGUGUUACUGCGAAGGGGGGACGGAGAAGGCUAUGUUAGCCGGGCGACGGUUGUCCCGGUUUAAGCAUGUAGGCUGGUUGUCCAGGCAAAUCCGGAUAAUCAAGGCUGAGGUGUGAUGACGAGGUACUACGGUGCUGAAGUAACAAAUGCCCUGCUUCCAGGAAAAGCCUCUAAGCAUCAGGUAACAUCAAAUCGUACCCCAAACCGACACAGGUGGUCAGGUAGAGAAUACCAAGGCGCUUGAGAGAACUC